UACGUAGGGUGCAAGCGUUGUCCGGAAUUAUUGGGCGUAAAGAGUUCGUAGGCGGUCUGUCGCGUCUGCUGUGAAAACUCGGGGCUUAACCCCGGGCCUGCAGUGGGUACGGGCAGACUAGAGUGCGGUAGGGGAGACUGGAAUUCCUGGUGUAGCGGUGAAAUGCGCAGAUAUCAGGAGGAACACCGGUGGCGAAGGCGGGUCUCUGGGCCGUAACUGACGCUGAGGAGCGAAAGCAUGGGGGAGCGAACAGG
rnacentral:rRNA from 1 species